AUUGAACGCUGGCGGCAGGCCUAACACAUGCAAGUCGAACGGUAGCACAGAGAGCUUGCUCUCGGGUGACGAGUGGCGGACGGGUGAGUAAUGUCUGGGAAACUGCCCGAUGGAGGGGGAUAACUACUGGAAACGGUAGCUAAUACCGCAUAACGUCGCAAGACCAAAGUGGGGGACCUUCGGGCCUCACACCAUCGGAUGUGCCCAGAUGGGAUUAGCUAGUAGGUGGGGUAAUGGCUCACCUAGGCGACGAUCCCUAGCUGGGCUGAGGGAAUGACCAGCCACACUGGAACUGAGACACGGUCCAGACUCCUACGGGAGGCAGCAGUGGGGAAUAUUGCACAAUGGGCGCAAGCCUGAUGCAGCCAUGCCGCGUGUAUGAAGAAGGCCUUCGGGUUGUAAAGUACUUUCAGCGGGGAGGAAGGCGGUGGAGUUAAUAACUUCAGCAAUUGACGUUACCCGCAGAAGAAGCACCGGCUAACUCCGUGCCAGCCGCCGCCGUAA
rnacentral:rRNA from 1 species